UCCACACUGGUACUAUAAAGGUGUCUCUUUCAAAACCGUGAAAUAGUCCACCUAUCACAUAGUCCCUCCUCCAUUAAAAACUAUUUUUCCAGUUUUGUGCCUCCUGACCAACACGAACGUGUUUUGGUCACGUGGUUGCGGGGUGGGGUUAACAGGUAGGCGCGAUGCAUGAGUUUUUCCGUUUAUAAAGUGCAACAUUGCACUUGCUGGUUGUCACUACUGCCGUGUGCUCUCAAGACAACAUGGAUUUCGAUUUGGCUUCAGCUGUAGGUAAAGAUGAUCAGGUGAAAAAGGAUGAUGCCUCUGGCCAGGAACAGAAUGCCCUAUUUGGGUGGGGGAAGAAGAAGGACAAAGAUGGGGAUAAGAGUGUGUCCAAGGACAAAUCAAAGGACCAUGACAAAU